rfam:Triticum aestivum genome assembly, contig: Triticum_aestivum_CS42_TGACv1_scaffold_221293_3B
UAAAUACUAUAUCCGUCCGAAAAUACUUGUCAUCAAAAUAGAUAAAAAGAAUGUAUCUAGAACUAAUAUACAUCUAGAUACAUUCCCUUUUAUUUAUUUCGAUGACAAGUAUUUUCGGACGGAGGGAGUAUAAG